ACAAUAAAUCUUGUGUGGUAUCCUAACUGUAAUAUCUUAAGAGUAAUAUUAAGUUACAAGAAUGCUUAUCUGUAAGCUAUAUCAGUUACUUAGCUGCGAAGAAUAAUAGUUAAUUUCCUUAUACUGUUUCUCAAGUUAGCUGCUAAUAAUGGAUGUUCCAGAAGGAGGCGCUAUUACAUUGAGUUCUGAAUCAGAGUAUGUUCAGCUGACCGGAUGUUGACUCUAGUUAAGAGAGACCGAAGAAGUUGUUGCUAGCGAGGGACAUGUGAAAGUAACUAAUGAUGAUGUAAU